AAAACUGUUCAACUCCAGCUAUCCUGUGGGAAACUUCGGAGGGAACCAGCUACUAGAUGGUUCGAUUAGUCUUUCGCCCCUAUACCCAUGUAUGACGAACGAUUUGCACGUCAGUAUCGCUACGAGCCUCCAUCAGAGUUUCCCCUGAGUUUGCCCUUCACAGGCAUAGUUCACCAUCUUUCGGGUCCUAACAGAUAUGCUCAUACUCAAACCUCUCUCAAUUGAUUGGUCGGUUGCUGGUGCAAAAAUCCCAGCAGUCACUUUCAUUACGCAAGCAGGUUUAACACCCGUGAACUUGCACAUAUGUUAGACUCCUUGGUCCGUGUUACUAGACGGGAAAAAGAAAACCAUUUCGUCAGGCUCGGUCGGACGGCGCGCACGCAACGAGGGUCAACUCCCCACGAGCUCUUCCGCACCCGCCAACCAAGCAUGACAACGCUGGCCACAGCGCCCCAACCGCAAGCGGAUGGGGAAGUAUGGCGCAGCUGGCACUGGUUUCCUUCGCUUCCGUUUCAGCAAGUUCAGGUACUCUUUAACAGCGCUUUCGCGCUUCUUUGCAUCUUUCCCUCACGGUACUUGUACGCUAUCGGUCUCCCACCAGUAUUUAGCUUUCGAUGGAAUUUACCACCCGCUUAGAGCUGCAAUCCCAAACAACUCGACUCGAAUACACAAGCUCAGAGGGCCGGGCGGACGGGAGUGUCACCCUCUCGGCUGCCGUGUUCCAACGGACUUGGCCCGGCC
rnacentral:rRNA from 1 species